rnacentral:sRNA from 1 species
CCUCGUGUAUCCUGACGGGCUUUACGAGGAUUGUUUUUUUAACUUGAUUUUAGGAGUUUAUAGUGGCCCGUAUAGCUGGUAUUAACCUUCCUGAU